AUUGAACGCUGGCGGCAGGCCUAGCACAUGCAAGUCGAACGGUAACAGGAAGAAGCUUGCUUCUUUGCUGACGGGUGGCGGACGGGUGAGUAAUGUCUGGGAAACUGCCUGAUGGAGGGGGAUAACUACUGGAAACGGUAGCUAAUACCGCAUAACGUCGCAAGACCAAAGAGGGGGACCUUCGGGCCUCUUGCCAUCGGAUGUGCCCAGAUGGGAUUAGCUAGUAGGUGGGGUAACGGCUCACCUAGGCGACGAUCCCUAGCUGGUCUGAGAGGAUGACCAGCCACCCUGGAACUGAGACACGGUCCAGACUCCUACGGGAGGCAGCAGUGGGGAAUAUUGCACAAUGGGCGCAAGCCUGAUGCAGCCAUGCCGCGUGUAUGAAGAAGGCCUUCGGGUUGUAAAGUACUUUCAGCGGGGAGGAAGGGAGUAAAGUUAAUACCUUUACUCAUUGACGUUACCCGCAGAAGAAGCACCGGCUAACUCCGUG
rnacentral:rRNA from 1 species